rnacentral:rRNA from 1 species
CACCGCCCGUCACACCACGAAAGCUAAUUGCACCAGAAGUCGCUGUGCUAACCGUAAGGAGGCAGGCGCCCAAGGUGCGGUUGAUGAUUGGGGUG